UGAUGCAAACUGUUUAUGGAAGGC
rnacentral:piRNA from 1 species